AAGAAGCCCCCGGGGAAAGAAACAUGGCGGCCGGCGGCCCGCUCACAGGACGCGGGGCCUGCCCCUCUGCCCGCCCCACCCGGGGCUGCACGACCGCCGAGGAGAAUCUGGGCCAGGCCUGCCCGGUUCUAGGGGGACAGACCUGGUGACUUCUCAGCCCUGGGAUCCCACAUCAGAAGUCUGUUUUCAUCCUGGUCACGCCAGCAAAGGAAAUCCCCGUCGUGAGAUGCGCUGCCUCGAUCCCAGGAACGGCUGUGGCGGAGGGGCCGCUCGCACACGGUGGAUGGCAGUUGAAGCCCGUCUGGCCCGGCCCGUCCGUGGCCGGUGCCGCCCUCAGGACCACGGCACCACCGGCUCCCGAAAACCGUGCCGCGCGUCAAAGCGUAAGUCCAAAGCCUUUUCUCUCGCAGGAACAGUGGCGUGGAUGGGGCAACGGCCCCUGGACCGAGGUGGCGGUUUGACCCCGACGACCGAGAUGCCGGGUUGCGGGGGGGUGGCGCGGUGUUGUGUAGGGCCUAGCGAGCCCCCUGACAGGUGAAAGGCAGCUCCCAGAGAACCUGGAGCAGAACAGCACAGCGGUGACCCACGGCCUUCGCUCUCCCCACCGACGAGCCGGUGCACAGAGAGAAGCUUUAUCCCUUCUCCGCGGUAAGUGGACUCUGCCUGGGGGGCUCCAACUGGGCAAGGUUUGCAGGGAGUUUUGAGUUGAUCGGAGAGGACCGUUGCUGGGGUUCUUGGCUGGAGUCUUCUCAGGAGUCUUGCAUGCUGGUUUUUCUGGAGAUACGUCUGAACUGAGCGGUUUGAGAAGCAGCGUGGCCUUGUGGAUAAAGCCCGGGUCUGGGAGUCAGAAGGACCUGGGUUCUCGUCCCA